GGGUGCGAUCAUACAGCAAUAAUGCACCGGAUCCCAUCAGAACUCCGAAGUUAAGCUUGCUUGGCGAGAGCAGUACUAGGAUGGGUGACUCCUGGGAAGUCCUCGUGUUGCACCCCU
rnacentral:rRNA from 1 species